UGCAGUCGUACGAAAGUUUUUAACUUUAGUGGCGGACGGGUGAGUAACACGUGAGAAUUUACCUUUAGGAGGGGGAUAACAAUUGGAAACGAAUGCUAAUACCCCAUAUGCUUUUGAGUAAAAUGGAUUUUUAUUUAUCUGCCUAGAGAGAAGCUCGCGGCUGAUUAGCUUGUUGGUAAGGUAAGAGCUUACCAAGGCGACGAUCAGUAUCUGGUUUGAGAGGACGAUCAGACACACUGGAACUGAGACACGGUCCAGACUCCUACGGGAGGCAGCAGUAGGGAAUAUUGCACAAUGGGGGAAACCCUGAUGCAGCAAUACCACGUGAGUGAGGAAGGUCUUCGGAUUGUAAAGCUCUGUCCUAUAGGAAGAAUGGCAUUAUGGUUAAUACCCAUAGUGUUUGACGGUACUAUAGAAGAAAGCACCGGCUAACUCCGUGCCAGCAGCCGCGGUAAUACGGAGGGUGCAAGCGUUGUUCGGAUUUACUGGGCGUAAAGCGCGCGCAGGCGGAUUGGCAAGUUAGAUGUGAAAUCCCGAGGCUUAACCUCGGAACUGCAUCUAAAACUGAUAA
rnacentral:rRNA from 1 species